CCUCAACCACAUUUCGGUCAAUAUUCUUCUCAAAUAGGUCAUUAUCUAGUUCAUCUUCAAACUCCUCAUUUAUUAAUGAUUACUGACUAUCCCUUAAAUUAGUAUUGUUGACUUGCUCCCUCUGCAUCUUCUGCAUAUUCAAUAGGUUCAUUCUCUUUAUCUUCUAUUUCUUUGGAUUUCUUCCCUUCCUUUGCCUAAUGACCCUAAUAUAACUUAAAUUGUUAGCCUCAGUCAUUACUUCAUACAUCACAUUUACCAAACCUGAUCCAUACUUCUUUAUCUUGCUUCCCUUAACACUAAUAUCAUGUUGAUAAGGUAGCUCUUUUCCACCAUCGUUCCUAAUACAAACAAGUUCAUUCUAAGUCUUUUCUUAUCUGGCUUGCUUUGCUAUAAGGUAUUAAGUGGCAUGACCUCUCUCUUGAAUAAUGUUAUAUAUC
rnacentral:lncRNA from 1 species